GACGAACGCUGGCGGCGUGCUUAACACAUGCAAGUCGAACGCUGAAGCUCAGCUUUUGUUGGGUGGAUGAGUGGCGAACGGGUGAGUAACACGUGAGUAACCUGCCUCCUUCUUUGGGAUAACGCCCGGAAACGGGUGCUAAUACUGGAUAUUCACUGGUCUUCGCAUGGGGGUUGGUGGAAAGGGUUUUUCUGGUGGGGGAUGGGCUCGCGGCCUAUCAGCUUGUUGGUGGGGUGAUGGCCUACCAAGGCUUUGACGGGUAGCCGGCCUGAGAGGGUGACCGGUCACAUUGGGACUGAGAUACGGCCCAGACUCCUACGGGAGGCAGCAGUGGGGAAUAUUGCACAAUGGGCGCAAGCCUGAUGCAGCGACGCCGCGUGAGGGAUGGAGGCCUUCGGGUUGUGAACCUCUGUCGCUCAUGGUCAAGCCGCAACAAUGGUUGUGGUGAGGGUAGUGGGUAAAGAAGCGCCGGCUAACUACGUG
rnacentral:rRNA from 1 species